AGUGGACUGUAUGGUUGCUUGUGAUUAUCACAAGAGGAAAGUCCGGGCUCCAAAGAGCAGAGUGGUGGAUAACUUCCACCGAAGGUGACUUCAGGGAAAGUGCAACAGAAAGUAAACCGCCUUUAAAAAGGUAAGGGUGAAACGGUGCGGUAAGAGCGCACCAGCGGUUUGGGUGACCAAAUCGGCUCUGCAAACCCCACUCGGAGCAAGGCCAAAUAGAGAGGUAAAUAAAAGGCUGCUCGUCUAAACCUCUGGGUAGGCCGCUCGACACGGAAGGCAACUUUCGUGCUAGAUAGAUGACCAUAGCCCAUUUAUGGGAAACAGAACCCGGCUUAUAGGUCCACUCU
rnacentral:RNase_P_RNA from 1 species